CGAGCAGCGUGGGCCUGGGAGGAGCCCAAGCCCGGCCCUGCGAGCGCCUGACCUUUCUCGCCCUCCAUACAGGGGCGCUGCGCGCCAAUCUGUUCCCCAGAACCACCGGCUUGGCCUCAGGGAUAGGAAACAAAAAACUGGCUUCAGAGGUUCGGAAAAGAGAGGACUGAGGCAGAGGCUGGAGAGGGUCGACGUGAAAGGCCAAGACCCGGCCCCACUGUCGGAUCUGUGACUUGUCUGGACAGAGCGGUGGGAGCAAGGCCUGGAGAACCGAGGGAUGUUUUGCUGGAAAGCCGCCCCUCUCCGCCCCUCACAUCCUAGGAUGGACCAGGAGACCACUCCCAGGCUGUGGUCCUCCUCAGGGCCAGGCCCCUUCCCAGUUUUAUUUCCUGCUGACAACCAGCAUCAGCACCCCCAGACCUAAAAGGCCCCCAGGUAGCUCUCUGACUUCAGCUCUGCAAAGCCAUAGGCCAAUGCAAAGCUGGGAGACUGUCCUCUUCUCCCGCCUUCCUUCUUUCCCCAAAGGGAAAAAUCCAAGGCCUCCAGUUAAUACUUUAAAAAAUAAAAGCACCGUCCUCACCAACAUUCUCCUUAGGUUUGGGAGGUGUCUCAAAGCCAAUAAUUCCCACCAAAAAAAAAAAGUCUAAAAC
ensembl:lncRNA